CAGCAGCCGCGGUAAUACAUAGGUGGCAAGCGUUGUCCGGAAUUAUUGGGCGUAAAGGGCUCGCGGGCGGUUUCUUAAGUCUGAUGUGAAAGCCCCCGGCUCAACCGGGGAGGGCCAUUGGAAACUGGGAAACUUGAGUGCAGAAGAGGAGAGUGGAAUUCCACGCGUAGCGGUGAAAUGCGUAGAGAUGUGGAGGAACACCAGUGGCGAAGGCGACUCUCUGGUCUGUAACUGACGCUGAGGAGUGAAAGCGUGGGGAGCGAACAGGAUUAGAUACCCCAGUAGUCCCUGUCUCUUAUAC
rnacentral:rRNA from 1 species